rnacentral:rRNA from 1 species
AUUGAACACUGGCGGCAGGCCUAACACAUGCAAGUCGAACGAGUGGCGGACGGGUGAGUAAUGUCUGGGAAACUGCCUGAUGGAGGGGGAUAACUACUGGAAACGGUAGCUAAUACCGCAUACCAUCAGAUGUGCCCAGAUGGGAUUAGCUUGUUGGUGGGGUAACGGCUCACCAAGGCGACGAUCCCUAGCUGGUAUGAGAGGAUGAUCAGGCAAACUGGAACUGAGACACGGUCCAUACUCCUACGGGGGGCAGCAGUGGGGAAUAUUGGACAAUGGGCGCAAGCCUGAUCCAGCCAUGCCGCGUGUGUGAAGAAGGUCUUCGGAUUGUAAAGCACUUUAAGUUGGGAGGCGUUAACGACAGAAUAAGCACCGGCUAACUUCGUGCCAGCAGCCGCGGUAAUAC